rnacentral:rRNA from 1 species
AUUGAGCGCUGGUGGCAUGCUUUACACAUGCAAGUCGAACGGUAACAGGUUAAGCUGACGAGUGGCGAACGGGUGAGUAAUGCAUCGGAACGUGCCCGAUCGUGGGGGAUAACGCAGCGAAAGCUGCGCUAAUACCGCAUACGAUCUGAGGAUGAAAGCGGGGGACCGUAAGGCCUCGCGCGAUCGGAGCGGCCGAUGUCAGAUUAGGUAGUUGGUGGGGUAAAGGCUCACCAAGCCAACGAUCUGUAGCUGGUCUGAGAGGACGACCAGCCACACUGGGACUGAGACACGGCCCAGACUCCUACGGGAGGCAGCAGUGGGGAAUUUUGGACGAUGGGCGAAAGCCUGAUCCAGCAAUGCCGCGUGCAGGAAGAAGGCCUUCGGGUUGUAAACUGCUUUUGUACGGAGCGAAAAGGUUCUCUCUAAUACAGAGGGCUCAUGACGGUACCGUAAGAAUAAGCACCGGCUAACUACGUGCCAGCAGCCGCCGUAA